rnacentral:rRNA from 1 species
GAUGAACGCUGGCGGCGUGCCUAACACAUGCAAGUCGAACGGAGUCCAGCCUUAGAGACCUUCGGGUCAAAGAGGGGAAGACUGAGUGGCGGACGGGUGAGUAACACGUGGGCAACCUGGCUCAUAGAGGGGGAUAACAGAGAGAAAUUUCUGCUAAUACCGCAUAAGCACACACUGCCGCAUGGCAGAGUGUGAAAAGAGAAUCGCUAUGAGAUGGACCCGCGUCUGAUUAGCCAGUUGGCAGGGUAAGAGCCUACCAAAGCGACGAUCAGUAGCCGAUUUGAGAGGAUGAACGGCCACAUUGGGACUGAGACACGGCCCAAACUCCGACGGGAGGCAGCAGUGGGGGAUAUUGCACAAUGGGGGGAACCCUGAUGCAGCGACGCCGCGUGAGUGAAGAAGUAUUUCGGUAUGUAAAGCUCUAUCAGCAGGGAAGAUAAUGACAGUACCUGAAUAAGAAGCCCCGGCUAACUACGU